rnacentral:rRNA from 1 species
AUUAGAUACCCUGGUAGUCCACGCCCUAAACGAUGUCUACUUGCUGUUGGGGGUAAAACCUAAGUAGCGAAGCUAACGCGAGAAGUAGACCGCCUGGGGAGUACGGUCGCAAGAUUAAAACUCAAAGGAAUUGACGGGGACCCGCACAAGCGGUGGAUGAUGCGGAUUAAUUCGAUGCAACGCGAAAAACCUUACCUGCUCUUGACAUGCCAAGAAUCCUGCAGAGAUGUAGGAGUGCCUUCGGGAACUUGGACACAGGUGCUGCAUGGCUGUCGUCAGCUCGUGUCGUGAGAUGUUGUCUUAAGUGACGCAACGAGCGCAACCCUUGUCAUUAGUUGCCAUCCUUAAGUUGGGCACUCUAAUGAUACUGCCGGUGAUAAACCGGAGGAAGGUGGGGAUGACGUCAAGUCCUCAUGGCCCUUAUGAGCAGGGCUUCACGCGUCAUACAAUGGUCGGUACAAACGGUUGCGAAGCAGUGAUGUGUAGCUAAUCCGAAAAAGCCGAUCUCAGUCCGGAUUGUAGUCUGCAACUCGACUACAUGAAGUCGGAAUCGCUAGUAAUCGCAAUCACAUGCUGCGGUGAAUACGUUCCCGGGUCUUGUACACACCGCCCGUCACACCAUGGGAGUGGAGGAUACCAGAAGUUGUUAGGCUAACCGCAAGGGGGCCGAUUACCACGGUAUGUUUCAUGACUGGGGUGAAGUCGUAACAAGGUACC